UUUCUUCUGACAGAAAACAGUCGCAGAGGAACAUCAGACCCUUGAACUGACGUCAGGUCCUGGCCGCAUGAUGGGAGGCAUUCACUGAAACCUGCUCCUGGGUCAUGUUGACAUUUUGUUCAGCGCCCAGAAUGGAGCUGAGCAACUGUUAUCUGAGUUUUAUCCCUAAUAGCAGGGGAUCCCAUUGUUAUUCAGGUCACGCUCUGCAGCAUCCCAUAAAACAUCAGAGGCCGAGUGAUCCAAACGGUGAAGGAUAACCCGUAUUAUCACGCUUUCAUGGAAGCGGGCAGGCACACUUCCUACUGUAGCUACAUUAUGAGCUGAGGUUAGAUACUGCCUGAUGGAUCCACCUCAUCCAUCCUGAAGGUUCAGUCCCUGAAGAGGUUCUCUACGCCCAUUUCUCUUAACUGUAUCUAUCCUAUUUCUGCCUCCAGAGUUUUUAAUAGACAAUUAUAUUGAUAAAACAUUUAACUCUUUUGUAAUGUUUCCCCUGUAAUCCCAUUAAAACAUGUAAGGCUGAAGGACACAAAACCUGAUACUUUGAUGUCUUGUUUAAUGGAUGAUCUGGCUGAAUAAAGUGAGAAGCACAGACUCAUUUGAAAACAAAAUUGUAGGAUUAAAGAGAGAUGCAUUUUGCCGGUGCAUUAUAUGGCCGGAGAGUUUCAUUUAAAUGUAAAUUACAGACUAGCCUAAGAAACCCGUGAAUCCAGAGCCAGCCAAGACAGCAGUAUAUCUGCAUGUA